AAAUUAGUUCUGCCCAAUGAUUUAUUAUUUAAUGGCUGCAGUAUUUUAACUGUGCGAAGGUAGCAUAAUUAUUAGUUUAUUAAUUGUAAACUUGUAUGAAUGGUUUUAUGAAAUUUAGUCUUUCUUUAAUUUUAUUUUUUGAAUUUAUAUUUUUUGUUAAAAUACAAAAAUUUAUUUAAAAGACGAGAAGACCCUAUAAAACUUUAUAUAUUUAUUGAAUUUAUAUUUUUUUUAUAUAUUAGAUUGGGGAGAUUAUAAAAUUUAAUUAACUUUUAUUAUUUUUAUUUCAUUAAUUAUUGUUUUUUUGAUUUAAUGUAUUAAAUUCAAGAUUAAGUUACUUUAGGGAUAACCGCGUAAUUUAGUUUUACAAUAUUUAUUAACGAUUUUAUAUCUGCUUUAUUUGAGGAUUUGUAUGAA
rnacentral:rRNA from 1 species